rnacentral:misc_RNA from 1 species
CGAAAUUCGGCGCGCUCCGGCGCUGCCUUAUUCACCAACCCUUUGUCUACGCGUACCCCUAUAGCUUCCUCGGCGGGCUCGCCCGCCGCCAGGAACCAACGAAACCCCUUGCAUUAUACACGAAAACUUCUGAUAACCAACCUAAAUAAUCA